rnacentral:lncRNA from 1 species
UUUUUUUUUUUUUUUUUUUUUUUUUUUUUUUUUUUUUUUUUUUUUUUUUUUUUUUUUUUUUUUUUUUUUUUUUUUUUUUUUUUUUUUUUUUUUUUUUUUUUUUUUUUUUUUUUUUUUUUUUUUUUUUUUUUUUUUUUUUUUUUUUUUUUUUUUUUUUUUUUUUUUUUUUUUUUUUUUUUUUUUUUUUUUUUUUUUUUUUUUUUUUUUUUUUUUUUUUUUUUUUUUUUUUUUUUUUUUUUUUUUUUUUUUUUUUUUUUUUUUUUUUUUUUUUUUUUUUUUUUUUUUUUUUUUUUUUUUUUUUUUUUUUUUUUUUUUUUUUUUUUUUUUUUUUUUUUUUUUUUUUUUUUUUUUUUUUUUUUUUUUUUUUUUUUUUUUUUUUUUUUUUUUUUUUUUUUUUUUUUUUUUUUUUUUUUUUUUUUUUUUUUUUUUUUUUUUUUUUUUUUUUUUUUUUUUUUUUUUUUUUUUUUUUUUUUUUUUUUUUUUUUUUUUUUUUUUUUUUUUUUUUUUUUUUUUUUUUUUUUUUUUUUUUUUUUUUUUUUUUUUUUUUUUUUUUUUUUUUUUUUUUUUUUUUUUUUUUUUUUUUUUUUUUUUUUUUUUUUUUUUUUUUUUUUUUUUUUUUUUUUUUUUUUUUUUUUUUUUUUUUUUUUUUUUUUUUUUUUUUUUUUUUUUUUUUUUUUUUUUUUUUUUUUUUUUUUUUUUUUUUUUUUUUUUUUUUUUUUUUUUUUUUUUUUUUUUUUUUUUUUUUUUUUUUUUUUUUUUUUUUUUUUUUUUUUUUUUUUUUUUUUUUUUUUUUUUUUUUUUUUUUUUUUUUUUUUUUUUUUUUUUUUUUUUUUUUUUUUUUUUUUUUUUUUUUUUUUUUUUUUUUUUUUUUUUUUUUUUUUUUUUUUUUUUUUUUUUUUUUUUUUUUUUUUUUUUUUUUUUUUUUUUUUUUUUUUUUUUUUUUUUUUUUUUUUUUUUUUUUUUUUUUUUUUUUUUUUUUUUUUUUUUUUUUUUUUUUUUUUUUUUUUUUUUUUUUUUUUUUUUUUUUUUUUUUUUUUUUUUUUUUUUUUUUUUUUUUUUUUUUU